GCGAAUAUCGUAUAGUGGUUAUUACACCAGCUUCCCAAGCUAGCAACGCGGGUUCGAUUCCCGUUAUUCGCU
rnacentral:tRNA from 1 species